ACUGGAAGUGUUUACAAUUAAUCUCCUCAAGCAUACUCACAUUUGGACAAAAAUGAAGAUAAACCACGUCAGACUUCAGUUUGCUCUCUUAGAAAACAGUUUAAUUCAAAUCUGCACGUAAAACACAUACUUACAUAAAGUAUCAUAAAGUAUAAAUGUUGACCCACAUCAGUAUAACCCAACGCACCUCCAACAUACCUCACAGUAAAACAGUCCACUUAAUGCAAACUGACUUUGGCCAAAACCGAAUCCGCAUCAUGAUAGUCGUUUUGCACCUUCUUAUGAUUAAAAAGCGAACGUGACAAAAAAUAAAAUAAACAACAUUGACCACAUUCUGUAGUGUGACUAAAGGCUGGUGUCUUUUUUGUGUCUUAGACACACAAAAACCCAUGAGAUGCAAACGACCUUAAUCACCACAGUUGUGGUUGUUUUU